UACAGAGGGUGCAAGCGUUAAUCGGAAUUACUGGGCGUAAAGCGUGCGUAGUCGGUUAUUUAAGUCGGGCGUGAAAGCCCCGGGCUCAACCUGGGAAUUGCGUUCGAUACUGGAUAGCUAGAGUUCGGCAGAGGGAAGCGGAAUUUCUGGUGUAGCGGUGAAAUGCGUAGAUAUCAGAAGGAACAUCAGUGGCGAAAGCGGCUUCCUGGACCAGAACUGACGAUCAGGCACGAAAGCGCGGGGAGCAAACAGG
rnacentral:rRNA from 1 species